GAGCGCGGGCCUGGUGCUUCGGCGGCCCCGGGCUUGCGGCGGGGUCGCCGGGGGGACGCCCCUCAGGCCUGCUCUUAGGAGCCGAAGUCCGGCCGGGGCGCCGUACGCGGGCAGGGCCCGGAGCUGGGCCUUCGGCUUCGUGAAAGCUCUGCUCAACAUAGGAAGAGAAAACUGACAUGGAUUUGUUAAUCACCCAGCUGAACGUGGAAGGCAUGCCCAAACACAUGCAGAGAACCCACUGAAAAGGAAUGUCUCCUGGAAAUGACUUUUUGAGAUGAAAUUGUUUGACCACCUCUGGAAGCAGUAUCAGGAGCAACAGAAAUCCACAUUUGUUCAGUGGGUUAGAGGACAUGGAGUGGAAGACUUUGAGGAGGAGAUUCUGUGCUAGACUGGUCUUGCUUAGAAGACAUUUCCAGAUUAGAUCCAUUGUUUUGUAUGUGCAUUUUAUUUCUCACUGCUGUAUAUAUAGUUGACAAUAAGUACUUUUUAGAAAUAUCUAGGCUUUGUACAGAGUUCGCGUCGUGGCUCAGUGGUUAACGAAUAUGAUUAGAAACCCUGAGUUUGCGGGUUCGAUCCCUGGCCUUGCUCAGUGGGUUACAGAUCCAGCGUUGCCGUGAGCUGUGGUGUAGAUUGAAGACGCGGCUCGGAUCCCACGUUGCUGUGACUCUAGUGUGGGUUGGCGGCUAUAGCUCCGAUUCGACCCCUAGCCUGGGAACCUCCAUAUGCUUCCGGGGGAUCAGCCCUAGAAAAGGCAAAAAGACCAAAAAAAAAAAA
rnacentral:lncRNA from 1 species